UCUGCCUCUUGAUGGGAGGUGCUUAUAGAGAUGGGCGGGAUUAUUGAUGGCCAUGCUGGAGACUAUGUACCACCUGGUCCAUCUUACAGAGUCUUGUGUAUAGGAUCUUUUCGAGGGUUAUCAAUAAAAUGGCUUAAGCCCAGGCAUCUUUUGCAGGGGAAUCUCACGCAUCCUUGCUGUGCCAGGGACCCUGUGUUUCCUCUCCAUGUUUCUAUACUCCAGCAGUUUCCACUUCUCUGCAACUCCAGUGAUUUUAGAUGAAGAUGCUCAGCCACCCCCAGUGAAGUAGAGGGGUUCCUGGGAGGUCAACUCCUCCAGAUGUUAGGAGUGAUUUUCUGAGGGUUUUUCUCCUUCUUAUCUUUGAGGAGGGAAUUGCCUACCUUUCUCCCCUCCCUCACUGGGAAUACAUUUGGCUCUGAUUGCUCUCACCGUCCAGGGACAAAUGGGCUAAGGGUGGCGAAAUGUGUGACAGUGUGUAACUCUCCAUUUAUUUCCUGUCCCUUCUCCUAUCUAUUUCAAGUUCCUCACCAUAUCGAGCAGAAUUAUAAAAUGUGAGAGCUGGAAUUCACCCUAGAAUUAAUCUAGUUCAGUGGUUUCCAGCUUUGCUUCACAGACCAUUUGAGGUUUUUUUUUUUUUUUUGCCUUCCUCCCACAGCUUAAGAGCAACAACAGGGUGGGUGAGUGAAGGGAGCAAGUAGGCUUCCAGUGACUCCUUUUAUCCUCAUGCUCUUAUUAUGUAUUUCAUGUGUAUAUGGUCAGGUCACUCAAGGUGGCUGUUCUCUUUCUCCUUGUAUGUCCCUUGCUCCACUGGCACCUGCUUCACCUUAUACCCUGUGCACAUGACCAGGCCCCAGCUGGUGUUUGUUUUUGUCAAAGGGGCUAUAAGGGGCAUGCUCCUUGCUGGUUUCCCUGGUAACUAAUGAGCCCACCUGAAGCCAAUUCCCCCUAUAACUGGCAAUCUUCUCUACCCCUCUGGAGAGUGAAGCUUGUCACCCUGUUUUGCUUGCUGUCUGUCUGCUGCACACAGUGGGGUGUCACUCCAGGAUCUUACUUCAGGAAAGCCAGAGUUUUUCAAACAAAUCACAGAGAGCUGGAAUCAAGAUGCCAGGGGAGUAGUUCACCUUCUCCCACAAAUACAUAAAAAAAAAAAACCUACAUGUAUAACAAUUUUCAUAGAACAUCUACUGAAUACUGGCAGAAGACCUCAGACUUCCAGAAAGGCAAGAAAAUAUCGACCUAAUUGGGUAGGACAAAAGGUAAAAAUGAGAGAGAGAAAGAGAAGAGAGAAAAAGUAAUCAGGAUGGGACAAACACUUCUGGGAAGAAUCUGUUAAAGAGGAAAGGAAUCCACACACUGGGAGGCCUCCUGACUGGUGGGAAGGUCAGCUGGGACAGAGGGGGAGACUCAAAGCCUCUGAAAAAAGCAUUGCAGCCAGUCUUGGGGCGGGGGGUGGAAGCAUAAAGAGAGCUUCACAGACAAUUGGUAUCACUCCACUGCACACUACAGCUUUAAGACACUUGGGUUGGGGUUGGGUGCUGAGGUUUGGGCUUUGGAGGUCAGUCCUGGUGAGAGGACUAGAGUUGGCUCCAUGGAAAUAGCCCAAGGACCUAAGGAGUGUGCCAUAGUUGAGGGAGUGCAGGAGGAGGCCUGGGCCUGCAGGAGAAGAAAAUUGCCAUUGUUGGGGUGUGUGAGAGAAGGAGGGGCAGAACUGCCAUAGGAAAUUCUUUCUGUGCAUGCAUGGACUCUUAGGCAAUAGAUCACCACUUGCAUAGGCUAUAGAGGUGGGUGCAAGCCAUUGCAGCCAUUUCAGACUCCAGUGGUGGGUGCAGUCAGCCACUGUCUGCCUCCCCAAACACCCUAGGAUCUGAUGUCACUGCUGAGGACACUGUGACUAGGCAUUGCCUCCACCUCCCCAUGGAUUGCUGACACUGCCAAGGGCCUGAUGACCAGGUGCCACCUGCAGGUGCCACCCAGUGCCCCCACCUCCUUGGAAGCACAAGCAGGCUGUGCACCUGAAUACCCCCUAUCAAGGGCACAACAGCCUGCACACACUGAGGAAAGAGACAUCAAGCAUCCAAACCAAAAGCAGCAAAAAAAAAAAAAAAAAA